rnacentral:rRNA from 1 species
GACAGAGGGUGCGAACGUUGUUCGGAAUUACUGGACGUAAAGCGCAUGUAGGCGGCAGCGCAAGUCGGGCGUGAAAUCCCACGGCUCAACCGUGGAAGUGCACUCGAAACUGCGCAGCUAGAGUCCUGGAGAGGAAGGUGGAAUGCUUGGUGUAGAGGUGAAAUUCGUAGAUAUCAAGCGGAACACCGGUGGCGAAGGCGGCCUUCUGGACAGUGACUGACGCUGAGAUGCGAAAGCGUGGGGAGCAAACAGG